rnacentral:rRNA from 1 species
CCUANGGGUGGCAGCAGUGAGGAAUAUUGCACAAUGGAGGAAACUCUGAUGCAGCAACGCCGCGUGGAGGAUGACGCAUUUCGGUGUGUAAACUCCUUUUAUUAGGGAAGAUAAUGACGGUACCUAAUGAAUAAGCACCGGCUAACUCCGUGCCAGCAGCCGCGGUAAUACGGAGGGUGCAAGCGUUACUCGGAAUCACUGGGCGUAAAGCGUGCGCAGGCGGUUUUGUAAGCCAGUCAUGAAAUCCCCGGGCUUAACCUGGGAAUGGCGAUUGGGACUGCAAGGCGUGAGUAUGGCAGAGGAGACUGGAAUUCCUGGUGUAGCAGUGAAAUGCGUAGAUAUCAGGAGGAAUACCGAUGGCGAAGGCAGGUCUCUGGGCUGAUACUGACGCUCAUGCACGAAAGCGUGGGGAGCAAACAGGAUUAGAUACCCUUNUANUC